rnacentral:misc_RNA from 1 species
UCCGGUUUGUCACCGGCAGUCUCAUUAGAGUGCCCUUGCGUAGCAACUAAUGAUAAGGGUUGCGCUCGUUGCGGGACUUAACCCAACAUCUCACGACACGAGCUGACGACAGCCAUGCAGCACCUGUGUUCCCGUUCCCUUUCGGGCACCCCCAGCUCUCACCAGGGUUCGGGACAUGUCAAGGGUAGGUAAGGUUAUUCGCGUUGCAUCGAAUUAAUCCACAUCAUCCACCGCUUGUGCGGGUCCCCGUCAAUUCCUUUGAGUUUUAAUCUUGCGACCGUACUCCCCAGGCGGUCAACUUCACGCGUUAGCUGCGGUACUGACAGAUCGCUCCGCCAACACCUAGUUGACAUAGUUUAGGGCGUGGACUAC